GUAGCGUUUGCCAACGCGGACUGUUUCUGGAGUGACCCUACCUGUAUAUUGUAAAAAGUGGCGCAACAAAGCUGUCAGUUAUGAUGCUGCUGAAUUCAUUAGCAUCGCUCUACUUCCUGGCCACUGUUGCCUUUGCUGUGCCUGCUCAGGAGAAGCGCAUCCAUCACCAGCCUGAUCUGAGUGACCACGCCCAUGAUGAUGCUCACAGUUUCCAGUAUGACCAUGAGGCCUUCCUGGGUAAAGAAGAGGCCAAGACCUUUGACCAGCUGACUCCUGAGGAGAGCAAAGAUAGAUUAGCGAAGAUAGUGGACCGUAUUGACACUGACAAGGAUGGCUACAUCAGCCACGGAGAGCUGCAUUAUUGGAUCAAACACAGACAGAGGAGGUACAUCGAGGAAAAUGUUAACAAACACUGGAAGGACUACGACAAGAACCAAGAUGACAAGAUAAGCUGGGAGGAGUAUAAAAACACCACCUAUGGCUACUAUCUGGGAGAGGAUUUUGAUGAUAUUGAUGACAAGGAGACUUAUAAGUCCAUGCUCAAAAGAGAUGAAAGGCGCUUUAAGACGGCUGACCGAGACAGUGAUGGCAUUGCCACACGUGAGGAGUUCACUGCCUUCCUUCACCCUGAGGAGUUUGAUUACAUGAAAGAUUUGGUAAUUCAGGAAACUGUGGAGGACAUUGAUAAGAAUGGGGACGGGAAGAUCAACUUAGAAGAAUACAUCGGUGAUAUGUACACAGCCGAGGAUGGGGAAAGUGAGCCUGACUGGGUCCAGACAGAGAAGAAACAUUUCUCGGAGAUCAGGGAUACCAAUAAGGAUGGGUACCUGGAUGCUGACGAAGUAGGACAGUGGGUUUUGCCUGGAGAGGUUGACCAUGCUGACAAUGAAGCCAAACAUUUGAUCCACGAGACAGACACUGACAAGGAUGAGAGAAUAACCAAGAAGGAGAUUCUAGCCAACUGGAACAUGUUUGUGGGCAGUCAGGCUACCAAUUAUGGUGAAGACUUAACGAAGAAGCACGAUGAACUUUGAUGAAAAUGUAGUUAUGGGGAUAUCAGAAUAGGCGUGGGACUUGGGUCUGGAUUAUGCUGUUUUAGUUGUAUAAUCAAUAAUGUUCUUAUAACAAGCAGCAUGAAAGCAUGUCAAAAUUUGCUAUCAAAUGUUUGUCUGAGUGUGUGGAUGGGAGGGUGUGGGAGAGAUUAAAGUCUUCUUUUUCUACAAUUGUACUUAUUAUUCUUUAGUCACAUUAUGAUUUAAAUUAUUACAAAUAUAAUUGUCAGUGUUGUUCUCGAAUUGUGUAAGAGAUGUUGCUGGUUUCUGCCUUUUUUGUGAUUAAGUUUAAAGUUGCAGUGUGUAAAGGUAGAAUGUUCGCCCCAUGUUUGGGGGUUGGGGGUUCAAAUCCACCGAAUGGCUACCCUGAAGUACCCCUGAGCAAGGUACCGUCCCUACACACUGCUCCCCGGGGGUUGGAAUUUUGUGAAUUUUAAAAAGAUCUUUGAGAUUCCAUAAUGUCGCUACCAAUUCUACACAGCAGUGAAAAGAAAUAACGUGCAGGAUAUGCUUUGCUAAAACUAAAAUGUAUUAUUUGGGAACAGAUGAGGUGAUGCUUGUUUUGUAUUAGUUUUUAAUGUGUGUUGAUUUGCAACAUGAAUUCGCAUCCUUUGCCUUAAUACUGAAAAAAAAACAAAACAAAACACAGGAACAGAGCGCUGCACAGUGAAGUUUCAAACUGAGCCUCCACGGAUAUCUGGAAAUGGAUGGCCGUCUGAGUCUACCUGAGAUACUUGACAAGAUGGACUUCAUCAAGACCAGUACAAUGACCGACUAUGGAGGGAUGAGGGUGGAUGACCGUGAUGAACUGUGACUUCAGUUUGGUCCCAUAUACAAAUGUUUUACACAAAAAUCUAUGACUUGUGAAUAUUUUCUUAUCUGAAUUGAUUCAUCCUAUACAAAAUUAAAACACACAAGGCCACACUUAUAUCUUACAAAACUGACUCAUCUUUAAACUGAGGUACACAUGUUUAUUAGUAAUACAUUUUUAUUCAUAAUUCAAUUCUUUAAAUUUUGUAUACAUUUUCUGAGCUACAGUGAGUGUUACAAGAAACUACUGAUUGAGUUUCAUCUACUUUUUAGCAGCAGCAGGGCAUACUUCUCUCUUACUGCUUUCUCCACUUCACCCGAGGAAAGCGUGGGAAGUGGGGGUGUGGUACUGUGGUACUAUGGAGACUGCAGGUUUGGACACAGCCCAGUUGACUGAUUCACUAACAUACAUACAGUUACAAAAAUGUCAAGAAAGCAUGUUUCAAAGUAAGAACAUUACUGUGCAUAUCUAAGUGAAUGAGGCCCGAUGUGAAGAUCUCCAUCAUGAACAGUGAAGCAGCUCAAAUUUAAGCAACAACAGAUCUGCUUAGAACAGGACUUCAUGCAUGUUUAGAGCACCCACUCAAGUUUGUCAGACAAUGCAUUGGAUUGUAAAUUUCAUCUAUGAUAUGAACACAAUAAAAACAUUGAGACAUUGCUUUA